AUUGAACGCUGGCGGCAGGCUUAACACAUGCAAGUCGAGCGGAGAUGAGGUGCUUGCACCUUAUCUUAGCGGCGGACGGGUGAGUAAUGCUUAGGAAUCUGCCUAUUAGUGGGGGACAACAUUCCGAAAGGAAUGCUAAUACCGCAUACGUCCUACGGGAGAAAGCAGGGGAUCUUCGGACCUUGCGCUAAUAGAUGAGCCUAAGUCGGAGUAGCUAGUUGGUGGGGUAAAGGCCUACCAAGGCGACGAUCUGUAGCGGGUCUGAGAGGAUGAUCCGCCACACUGGGACUGAGACACGGCCCAGACUGCUACGGGAGGCAGCAGUGGGGAAUAUUGGACAAUGGGGGGAACCCUGAUCCAGCCAUGCCGCGUGUGUGAAGAGGGCCUUAUGGUUGUAAAGCACUUUAAGCGAGGAGGAGGCUACUGAGACUAAUACUCUUGGAUAGUGGACGUUACUCGCAGAAUAAGCACCGGCUAACUCUGUGCCAGCAGCCGCUGUAACAC
rnacentral:rRNA from 1 species